rnacentral:rRNA from 1 species
GAUGAACGCUAGCGACAGGCCUAACACAUGCAAGUCGAGGGGCAUCGGGGCGUAGCAAUACGCUGCCGGCGACCGGCGGAUGGGUGAGUAACGCGUAUGCAACCUACCUUCAGCAGGGGGAUAGCCCGUUGAAAGACGGAUUAAUACCCCAUAACACAGGGGCUCCGCAUGGAGAUUAUUGUUAAAGGGAUGCUUCCUUCGGGGAGUAUUCCGGCUGCAGAUGGGCAUGCGUUCCAUUAGGUAGUUGGUUGAGGUAACGGCUCACCAAGCCUACGAUGGAUAGGGGAACUGAGAGGUUGGUCCCCCACACUGGUACUGAGACACGGACCAGACUCCUACGGGAGGCAGCAGUGAGGAAUCUUGGUCAAUGGACGGAAGUCUGAACCAGCCCUGUCGCGUGAAGGAGGACGGCCCUAAGGGUUGUAAACUUCUUUUGCAGGGGAAUAAAGUAUUCCACGAGAUGGGAUAUUGCAAGUACGCUGCGAAUAAGGAUCGGCUAACUCCGUGCCC